UGCCAGCCGCCGCGGUAAUACAGAGGGUGCGAGCGUUAAUCGGAAUUACUGGGCGUAAAGGGCGCGUAGGCGGCUUGAUAAGUCGGAUGUGAAAGCCCCGGGCUUAACCUGGGAAUGCCAUUCGAUACUGUCAGGCUAGAGUAUGGUAGAGGGAAGCGGAAUUCAGGGUGUAGCGGUGAAAUGCGUAGAUAUCCUGAGGAACACCAGUGGCGAAGGCGGCUUCCUGGACCAAUACUGACGCUGAGGCGCGAAAGCGUGGGGAGCAAACAGGAUUAGAUA
rnacentral:rRNA from 1 species